rnacentral:rRNA from 1 species
UACGUAGGGUGCGAGCGUUAAUCGGAAUUACUGGGCGUAAAGCGUGCGCAGGCGGCUUUGCAAGACAGAUGUGAAAUCCCCGGGCUCAACCUGGGAACUGCAUUUGUGACUGCAAGGCUAGAGUACGGCAGAGGGGGAUGGAAUUCCGCGUGUAGCAGUGAAAUGCGUAGAUAUGCGGAGGAACACCGAUGGCGAAGGCAAUCCCCUGGGCCUGUACUGGCGCUCAUGCACGAAAGCGUGGGGAGCAAACAGG